GUUAGCUUGUUUUGUUUUUUGUUGCUGAGCUGACAAUAGAUGAUAGGGGUAGUUACUAAAUCAAUCUUGUAUAUAAGGUAAACUCCAUUCUCUGUUAAUGAUAUGUGAGAAUAUUCUCAUUUCUCUUACAAGUUGUAUCAUGGUAUGUGUAGCUAGGGUUCUUUACAUUUUUUUUUCUUCUGGUGUUGAUCAUUCACUAUGAUCUACCAGAAAUUUUUUCUUCUACUCAUUUUUCUAAUUCCAAAUUGAAGUUUUAAGAGAUUCUGAUAUGAGAUCAAGAAGGAAGAAACUAGAAUUGUGACCAAUAAGGUUGAGGAAGAAGCUUUCAGGUUGCAAAACUAUGAUAAUCCGAGCAUGAUUUUGGUAAGUGCUCCUCUCAAUAGCACUAAUUACUUGACGUGUAGUAGAUCUAUGAUAAUUGCCUUAUGCGCAAAGGAUAAACUAGGGUUCAUUGAUGGGAAAAUUGAAAAACCAGAUGAGAAAUCCAGUGGUUUUGAAAAAUGGUGUAAGGUGGAUAGUAUGGUUUUAUCUUGGAUUCUUAAUGCAAUUUUUAAAGAUUUGGUGGAAUCCUUUCUCUAUGUCACUAUGGCUAGAAAACUCUACACUGAGAUUAAACAGAGAUUCGGGCAAAGUAAUGGCCUUAUGCUUUAUCAAGUGAAAAGAGAAAUAGGAGCUUUUGUUUAAGGAAAUUAACCAAUCUCAGUUUAUUUCACUAAGCUGAAGAAACUUUAAGACGAAUUAUACUACCUUGAGCCUCUUCCAAUGUGUACAUGCGAUGCUGUAAAGAAAAUGGCUGACAAAGAAAAUGAUGAUAAGUUGAUCCAAUUUUUGAUGGAACUAGGGGAGAAUUAUGAUCAUACUCAUAGUCAAAUCUUAUUAAUGGAUCCCUUGCCAGAUGUGAAUAAAGCUCAUGCUAUGAUUCUUAGAAUUGAAAUGCAAAGAGAGUACAGAUUUCUGUGAUUGAGAAUGUGGCAAUGGUGGUAAAAACGUUGGACCAAGGAUAGAAAUAGGUAGUGGAAAAUUCCAACAAAAGAAGAGUGAUUCUGUGAAAAAGGAGGAUAAGUACUGCAGUUUUUGUAAUAGGAGUGGACAUUUGAGAGAUACCUAUUUUACCCUUUGUGGGAAUGAGUUUUUUUAAAGUAAUUGAAGGUUU
rnacentral:misc_RNA from 1 species